rnacentral:rRNA from 1 species
ACUCCUACGGGAGGCAGCAGUGGGGAAUAUUGCACAAUGGGCGCAAGCCUGAUGCAGCCAUGCCGCGUGUGUGAAGAAGGCCUUCGGGUUGUAAAGCACUUUCAGUCGUGAGGAAGGUAGUGUAGUUAAUAGCUGCAUUAUUUGACGUUAGCGACAGAAGAAGCACCGGCUAACUCCGUGCCAGCAGCCGCGGUAAUACGGAGGGUGCGAGCGUUAAUCGGAAUUACUGGGCGUAAAGCGCAUGCAGGUGGUUUGUUAAGUCAGAUGUGAAAGCCCGGGGCUUAACCUCGGAAUUGCAUUUGAAACUGGCAGGCUAGAGUCUUGUAGAGGGGGGUAGAAUUUCAGGUGUAGCGGUGAAAUGCGUAGAGAUCUGAAGGAAUACCAGUGGCGAAGGCGGCCCCCUGGACAAAGACUGACGCUCAGAUGCGAAAAGCGUGGGGAGCAAACAGGAUUAGAUACCCUGGUAGGAUAGCG